rnacentral:lncRNA from 10 species
UUAGUUUUUGCUUAUCUGGGAAUGUUUUAAUUUCUCUCUUUUUUUUUAAGGAAAGCUUUGCUGGAUAUAGAAUUCUUGAUUGACAAUCUCUUUCAGUGCUUUGAAUGUGUCAUUUCAUCACCUUCUGGUCUCCAUGGUUUAUAAUGAGAAAUCAGCUGUUAAUCUUAUUGGGGAUCCCUUGUACCUGGUGAGCAAUUUUUUUUCUUGCUGCCUUCAAGAUUCUCUCCAUGUGUUUCACUUUCAACAGCUUGAUUAUGAUGUGUCUACAUGUAGGUCUCUGAGUUUAUCCUAGAGUGUUCCUCCUGCCUCAGCCUCCCAAGUAGCUAGGACUACAGUGCACACCACCACAGGCUAGUUUUUUUUAAAUUUUUUAGAGAUGGGGUCUUGCUAUGUUGCCCAGGCUGGUCUUGAACUCUUGGUCUCAAACAAUCCUCCCUCCUUAGCCUCCCAACGUGCUAGAAUUACAGAU